rnacentral:tRNA from 1 species
GGUGGGAUGUCCGAGUGGCCAAAGGAACGGCGCUGUAAACGCCGCGGCUCAGCCUACGGAGGUUCGAAUCCUCCUCCCACCACCA